GCUUACGGCCAUACCACCUUAGGCACGCCCGAUCUCGCCUGAUCUCGGAAGCUAAGCAGGGUCGGGCCUGGUUAGUACUUGAUGGGGUGACCGCCUGGGAAUACCAGGUGCUGUAAGCA
ensembl:rRNA 5S_rRNA 5S ribosomal RNA